GAAGCCCACUUGGGAGGACAAGAAAAGGGUUGCUGCAACACAUUGUUGCAGGAUUUGAUGAGAGAAGAUUUGAGAAAUUUUUUUCAGAGUCCCUUUUGCUUUCUUGAUCCUAAAAUGGCUACAGUGCUCUUUUCCUCAUUAAGGAGUAAUGGAUUGCAAGUUCCACCCUAGGCAACCAUGGUUAUUCACUGCGGGUGCUGAUUCAGUGAUCAAACUAUAUUGUCAUUAAAAAA